GCCCCACGGAAGCGCUGGUGAGGUCCUCCACGGAGCGGGACCACUUCAAGUCCUCCUUGAUGGCCUCGUCCACCACCAGUACUAGCUUGCCAAAAGUUUGUCUGGGAUGGAAAUUUACACUUAUCAAAAUGCUACUGAUUUAAUGAGAAAGAUCCACAUUUUUGGUAUUUGAACCCAGGUACAUAACAACUGAAAAAAGAAGACUGAAGACAUGUUGAAAACUGGUACAAAGACUGAAGCCUCCAUCUGUUUCUUCAUACAGUUUGAGCAGUAUGUCCCAAGGCUUUGGAUUUUCCAGCUUCAGCAUCUUUUGUGUCAGAGUUCAUAAAAUAGGCUGAAAAAUUAUAUUUCUUCUCAGCAUUUUUACUGAACUGGAAUACACUUGAAAUUUUCUUAUCUCCUAAAAGAAAGUUGCUAUAGAAGGUGUGUGUUAUUUUUCUGUAUGUAAGAGACAUUGCUAUAGCUAUAUUUUACUUUGGAGAAGUGGAGGGACAACUUCACAAUGACCGUGCAUAAUACAAUAUUCACACUGAUACGGGUAGAAAUCUUAAGUAUCAGUGAAAUCCUAGAAAAUGGGCAGAGAUCAUAUUUCUUCCUGAGAAAAUAGUCUAUUUUUAUUUGAAGACUGUUACUUGCUUUUACUAGUAUUCGUAAGAGUAUUUAAGCAUUCACUGUUCAAUAUGUAUGUUCUCAUACUGCCUGAAAUAAAACCAGUGCUCUCCAAAGGAUGGGUUGUGAUUAGGUGUGCAAACCAAGGCAAAGUGCUAAUAAUACAUGUUAAAA